AUGUUUAGGAGCAGGAUCUUCCCAAGAACGACCUGUGGUGGUACGGAAGGCACGGACUCCGCAAGCAUCCCGCACCCACUGGGAAAGAAACUCCUCAACCAUCACAAGACAAAGAAGUAUGAUGCUCUAUGUCUGACUCUAUUGGUCAUAGUUCCUUGCUGUUGCGGCCGGUGCUUGUUUGGGUGCGUGUGA
rnacentral:rRNA from 1 species